rnacentral:snRNA from 1 species
GUGUUUGCUUUGGCAGCACAUAUACUAAAAAAUUGGAAUGAUACAAAGAAGAUUAGCAUGGCCCCUGAACAAGGAUGACAUACAAAUUCAUGAAGCAUUACAUAUUUUU